rnacentral:rRNA from 1 species
AUGAGCGGCGGCUCGGCCCCCCUCCCCUACUCGAUGCGAGAUGUGGAUGGCGGCGCAUACAACAACGCCAAGUUCCGCCAACGAUCUCGCCUCAAGAUGGUUACCCAGGCUCUUAUUUCUAAGAGCAGCAAGUACCAAUUUGGAAAAUUCACCCUUGGGAAAUUCUUGAGCCUUUUAAUGGUUUCUGGCUUAAUAUACUUGCUUGCGCACAAAAGUUCGAAGGGUUUUGUAUCUGGUGAGCUCCAUAACAAAGAAGUAGAGAGUAGACAUGCCAGUAAAGAUUCUCCUACUAUCCGUACAUUCUGGAGAAAGCCACCAAGGCUACCUCCACGUCUUCCUCCAAAUGAAAUAUAUAAGAACAGUACAAUACUUCACCACCCCCCUUCAUCUGAAUGGACAUCCAGGCAGAAGAAAGUAAAAGAAGCAUUCGAACAUGCAUGGUCUGGCUACCGAAAUUAUGCGCUGGGUCAUGAUGAGCUUAUGCCUUUGAGCCGCAGAGGUGUAGACGGAUUAGGAGGUCUAGGUGCUACUGUUGUGGAUUCUUUAGACACUGCAAUAAUAAUGGGUGCUGACGAUAUUGUGUCUGAAGCAUCAAAAUGGAUUGAAGACAACCUAAUGAAAAAGAUCAGCGAGAAAGGGCAGGUUAACUUAUUUGAAACCACUAUCCGUGUCUUGGGAGGGCUUCUUAGUGCGUAUCAUUUGAGUGGUGGAGACCAAGCAGGAGGAGGUGAUUCUGGGAUAGCAGUAACACCUAACAAGACUAAUCCAGAUCGUCUUCUGGCAAUCUCAAAGGAUUUAGCAGACAGAUUAUUGUUAGCUUUUACAUCAAGUCCAUCGGCUAUACCUUUUAGCGAUGUUGUUCUUCGUGAUCGUUCUGCACAUGCAUCCCCUGAUGGCUUAAGCAGCACCUCUGAGGCUACAACAUUGCAACUGGAGUUCAGUUACCUUAGCAGAAUAUCAGGAGAUCCAAAGUAUGACUCAGAGACAAUGAAGGUGUUAGAGCAUAUGCGAACACUCCCAACAGUGGAGGGUUUGGUGCCUAUUUAUAUUAAUCCUUACUCUGGACAGUUUAGCGGAGAGAAUAUUCGACUAGGGUCGCGUGGUGACAGUUACUAUGAGUACCUAUUAAAAGUUUGGAUUCAGCAAGAAAAUUAUCGUAACACUAGCUUGAAGUAUCUAUUUGAAAUGUAUACGGAAGCGAUGAAAGGGGUCAAGCAUCUUCUUGUUCGAAAAACUACUCCAAAUGGGUUAGUUUUUGUUGGGGAGCUUCCCAGUGGACGAAAUGGUGCUUUUAGCCCUAAAAUGGAUCACCUGGUUUGUUUUCUUCCUGGCACCCUUGCUCUGGGUGCAACAAAGGGUAUCACUAAGAAAAAGGCUCUUGAGAGUAAUCUUCUAACUAAAGAAGACAUAGAAAAUCUUCAGCUUGCUGAAGAUCUGGCUAAAACUUGUGUUGAAAUGUACUUUGUGACUUCUACUGGACUUGCUCCUGAAAUUACUUAUUUUCACAUUGAGGGUAAUCCUGAUGGUGGACCUGAUGGUGGGAACAAAAGUAAUGAAUAUAUUAGUGACAUCACAAUCAAGCCUCUUGAUCGUCACAACCUAUUACGCCCAGAGACUGUGGAAUCCCUAUUUGUUUUGCAUAGAAUCACAGAGGAUCCAAAGUAUAGGGAGUGGGGUUGGCAAAUUUUUCAGGCCUUCGAGAAGUAUACAAAAGUUGAUUCUGGUGGUUAUACUUCACUGGAUGAUGUCACAAGCCUACCUCCACCUAGGAGAGACAAAAUGGAAACCUUCUUCCUGGGGGAAACAUUGAAGUACCUGUAUUUGCUGUUUGGUGAAAGUAAUAUUCUUCCACUGGACAAGUAUGUAUUUAAUACUGAGGCCCACCCACUUCCAGUCAUUCGGUCUGUGGUACAGGUUUCUAAUACCGUAUAG